UGCUUCAGCCUGCAGGGCAGGGAUGAGGUGAGCAAGCCAGACUGCAGCGAGCUGACCCCCGGGGACAGGAGCCGCAGCCAGACAGAUGCGGGGCUGUGGGGAGACGGACACCAUCACUGCCAGGUCAGGCGGGCCAGGAGCACAGGGCAGAGCAGGUGCCUGAACACCCCCAACACGCUCCCCUUGAUCAGCCAAACCCAUCAGCAACCGGAUCAAGUGGGCUCCAAGACUCCCAUCAGACAGGCUCUGGGGGAAGCAGCACUGGGUCUCCGAGGACCUGGCCCUGAGCGGAGGCUGCCGUCAUCUGUGGAACCUGAUGCUGAAGCUGGCGUCCUGCAAGGAGGCCCCAGAGCCUGGGACACCAUCUGGCAGAGAGGUGCGUGCUACAGAGUGGCAAAUGAGCAGAACCCCCGACGAACCCACUUACCUCCUUUGGCUCUCCUCCGGAAGCCACGAGCUGCGUUUGUGCUGUUUGGGGCUCCUCAUCAGUCGGUGGCAGGUAGGAGAAACCCCUACCUUACUGUCUAG
rnacentral:lncRNA from 1 species